GCGCGGGCGUUGCGGGGAUGAACGGCGCUGCGAGCUCUCGCCCCGCGGUCUCCCGCGAUCCCAGGUUCGGCUCGUAGGCCCGCACG
rnacentral:tRNA from 1 species